rnacentral:lncRNA from 1 species
UAUCUUUUCCCCCAGCUACUAACUCUUCUUCCUUUGCCCCUCCUUCCCACUCUGCCCAAUUCAAUUCCCAUAUCCUUCCUACCUCUGAUCCUUAUGGCACUAUGGGACAACAACAAAUCCUCUCCCUCAAUGUGCCCAACCCUUCCCUUUCUCAUACCUACUCCAUUGAGAAUGGAUUAAGAAGCCUAGAAACAGAAACAGGAGUACCAAAUAAUUCAGAUAGGUUAUUUCCUUUAAGGGAAGUACCCACUUUUAAUAAAAAUGGAAACUUGGUAUCUGUAAGGCACCACACACCUUUUAACCCUGAAGAUUUAAAUAAAUUUAAGGAAGAUCUUCCAUCAUUUGAGGAAGGACCAAUAUUAAUUAUAAAAAAAUUAGAGAACAUAUUCAGAACUUUUGACCCCAUUUGGAUGGAUGUUGAGAAUUUAUUAGAAAUAUUUCUAACAAAGAGAGAGAAAAAUAAUAUCAUCUCUUUGGCUAAUCAAAAGCGAGGUAGGAAAGGACAUUAUUGGCCAACUGAAAAUUCACAUUGGGACCCCAAUGUUGAACUAGAUCACACAAAACUAAACCAGGCCAGAGAAGCAUUAUUGACAGCCAUGAGAGCUUGCUCGGAUAAACCUGAAAAAUGGUCAAAAUUUGGAAGAACCCGACAAGAAAUUGAUGAGACCCCUUCCCAGUUUAUGGAUAGACUUAUUGACGUAGGAAAUACAUAUAUGGACCUUGAUUUAUCCAGAGAAAGGGACAUUAGGCAAAUACGUAGGCAAUUCAUUGAGAAUUGUUGUUCAUUGGUAAAAGACUACUUUAAAACUAGCUGUCCUAAUUGGGACUCUAUGGACCUUGAAGAAUUGAGGAGAGUAGCAACCUACAUUUAUAAGGGUCAUGUAAAAAGACCUGAGGAGCAAUAUAUGUUAGUGGAAGACUUAAAGAAAUUGAAAUGUUAAAGAGACAACUGAAAAAUAAGGAAGAGACCAUAGCCCCUUUGCAGGAAUCCACAGAUAAAUCAGUAACCUGUCACUUCUGAGGGAAGAAGGGCCACAGAAUGAUAGAAUGUAGAACUAUUCUCAUGAUUAUUGGAAGGAAUACACAGUUUAAUAACAACUUUAGAAAAACUAACUAUAGACAUGAUGAUAAUGAUCAUAGAAACCAGAAUUUUAGAAAUUUUAGAAAUA